CUGGAGCAGAGCGGGCAAGGGGGGGCAGCGGGCACUGUCAGGCUGGGGAGAUGGACGGGGCCAGACCGUGUGGUGCAGGGCCUUGUGGGCCCAGGGAGAUGCCCACCUGAGAAAGCAAGCUGAAUAUACAGAAGAGACAAUCCAGCAGGAAUGUUCCUGAACUAGUGGCAGGAGAGGAGACUCAAAAAAGAAAACAAAACUGGGUAGGAAUCAGGCGCUCCUCGUAUGCCAUCUCUAGCUGGCAGACGGACCCCCUGUGAGGACCCGUGUUGCUGUUGAGAAGAUCGUGGAUCCGUUCCAGCAAGUCACCAGAACUGGAAUUCAGCAGAAUUGAUUCCUGAUACUACCACUUCCUUCCUUCUCAAAAUUUUUUUAACUCGGGGGAAGUCCAGUCCAAAAUAGUAGUUCCCAUUUAUUGAGGACUUGUCCUGUACCGGUCUGUGCCAAUUAAGCAUAUUGUACACAGUUAGUCCUCAACUCUGCAAGUUGUGACAGCCGAAAAUGUCACCAGACAUUGCCAGAUGACCCUGGGGAGAGCCAAAUCGCUCCACUUGGGAACCGUGGCUCCAGAGCUGGGGAACAGAAGCCACCGCUUGCCUGAGGUCACAAAGCUGGCACACUGAGCCAGCCAGGAUCUGAAUACCAGGUCCUUUUUACCCCCAGAACCCCCAAUACAUAGUUGUAUAUUCUUAGUUGUGGGUCCUUCCACUUGUGGCAUGUGGGACGCCGCCUCAGCAUGGCCUGAUGAGUAGUGCCAUGUCCGCACCCAGGAUUCGAACGGACGAAACCCUGGGCCGCCUGCAGUGGAGCGCGCAAACUUAACCACUCGGCCACGGGGCUGGCCCCCAGAGACGUGUACUUUUAAAAGAAUGUAAAUUGUCUUGUAAUUACUUUUGGCUUUUUAUCUUAAUAUUUCUUGGAGAC
rnacentral:lncRNA from 1 species